ensembl:misc_RNA Metazoa_SRP Metazoan signal recognition particle RNA
CUUGUGCAGUGGAGCAUGCCUUUAAUCACUGCUACUGGGGAGGCUGAGGUUGGUGCAUCUCUUGAGCUCAGGAGUCUGGAGCUGCAGUGGGCCAAGCUGAUUGGGUGUCUGGACUAAUUCUGGCAUCAACAUGGUAAGCCUCUGGAAGUGCUGGGGAGGGCCAUUAUGUUGCCCAAGUAGGAGCAAACUGGUCCAAGUCCAAAUUAGAGUAGGCCAAAGCUCCUGUGCCAAUCAGUAGUAGAAUUAGACCCAUGAGCGGCCAUUGUACAUCCAGCCUGGGUGAGAUAAGAAGACACGAUCUAA